rfam:Celeribacter baekdonensis B30 contig1, whole genome shotgun sequence.
GGCCAACUUUGCGCAGGCGGAACUUGAUCGCCCACGGAAGCGAUGAUCGCCUUCAUUGAAGAUCAGCGCAUUGUUUACGGCGUCGAGUCAAUUUGCAGGGUUUUGCCGAUUGCGCCG